CCAAAAUCAUCUACCUGGCAGCAUUAGGGCUAGUCUUCUGGUUAGAACAGCAGAAAGGAUAAUUCCUUUCAGAAAUAUUUAUUUCCUGGAGAUUGGAGGUGAAACCCUGGCCCCACUGACACUAGUGACAAAGUAAUUGAUGGCUUCAAAGGGUCCAAAAUAUUGACUUUAUAGGCAACAGAAUAUAAAAACUGCCAUAUUGGGUCAAACUGAAGAUCAGUGUCUUUCACUGAUUAGACGAGUGGUCUUUCAUUGACAGUGACCAUUAUUGGAUACUUAGAGUUUAAAAAGCCAAAGGAUAAAAUGUCUUUCCUAGGUUUUCUCUCAUUGUCUGUCAAACAAAUAGAACUUCUGCAGCCCAUACUGGACCAAAAGCAUUAUGUUUACUAGCUGUUGAUGGCCCUGGAAUUUCUCCAGUCCUUUCUGGAAAUCACUAACUUUCAGCUUUCACAGCAUUGUGUGGUGCUGUCCCACAGUUUAAUAAUGCUGUAAUAAUUGUAGAAAGUGCCUAUAAUUAAUUGUUAUAGUGUAUUGUUACAUUGUUAUAAUUAUAUACAUUGUUAAUUGUUAUUACUAAGUGUUAUAUUUAAUAUCCUAUAAACUGUCAUAAUAAUUUCC